UGGGGAAUUUUGGACAAUGGGCGCAAGCCUGAUCCAGCAAUGCCGCGUGCAGGAUGAAGGCCUUCGGGUUGUAAACUGCUUUUGUACGGAACGAAACGGCUCUUUCUAAUAAAGAGAGCUAAUGACGGUACCGUAAGAAUAAGCACCGGCUAACUACGUGCCAGCAGCCGCGGUAAUACGUAGGGUGCGAGCGUUAAUCGGAAUUACUGGGCGUAAAGCGUGCGCAGGCGGUUAUAUAAGACAGAUGUGAAAUCCCCGGGCUCAACCUGGGACCUGCAUUUGUGACUGUAUAGCUAGAGUACGGUAGAGGGGGAUGGAAUUCCGCGUGUAGCAGUGAAAUGCGUAGAUAUGCGGAGGAACACCGAUGGCGAAGGCAAUCCCCUGGACCUGUACUGACGCUCAUGCACGAAAGCGUGGGGAGCAAACA
rnacentral:rRNA from 1 species